rnacentral:rRNA from 1 species
GAGUUUGAUCUUGGCUCAGAUUGAACGCUGGCGGCAGGCCUAACACAUGCAAGUCGGGCGGUAGAGAGAAGCUUGCUUCUCUUGAGAGCGGCGGACGGGUGAGUAAUGCCUAGGAAUCUGCCUGGUAGUGGGGGAUAACGCUCGGAAACGGACGCUAAUACCGCAUACGUCCUACGGGAGAAAGCAGGGGACCUUCGGGCCUUGCGCUAUCAGAUGAGCCUAGGUCGGAUUAGCUAGUUGGUGAGGUAAUGGCUCACCAAGGCGACGAUCCGUAACUGGUCUGAGAGGAUGAUCAGUCACACUGGAACUGAGACACGGUCCAGACUCCUACGGGAGGCAGCAGUGGGGAAUAUUGGACAAUGGGCGAAAGCCUGAUCCAGCCAUGCCGCGUGUGUGAAGAAGGUCUUCGGAUUGUAAAGCACUUUAAGUUGGGAGGAAGGGCAGUAAAUUAAUAACUUUGUCUGUUUUGACGUUACCGACAGAAUAAGCAC